GAGUUUGAUCGUGGCUCAGGACGAACGCUGGCGGCGUGCCUAAUACAUGCAAGUCGAACGAACGGAUAAAGAGCUUGCUCUUUUGAAGUUAGUGGCGGACGGGUGAGUAACACGUGGGUAACCUGCCUCACAGCUGGGGAUAACAUCGAGAAAUCGAUGCUAAUACCGAAUGUUCUGAACAUCAUAAGAUGUUCAAGUGAAAGACGGUUUCGGCUGUCACUGUGAGAUGGACCCGCGCUGGAUUAGCUAGUUGGUAAGGUAAUGGCUUACCAAGGCGACGAUCCAUAGCCGACCUGAGAGGGUGAUCGGCCACAUUGGGACUGAGACACGGCCCAAA
rnacentral:rRNA from 1 species